UCGAGGUUUAUUUGUCUAGUAGUGUGAAUUGAUUGAGUUUGACUUGAUUGUAAUUAUUUUUGUUUUUUUUCUUUUAUUGCAUUUUGUCUUAUUUUCUUUAAAAGUGUUUUUAGGGUGUGUUUCUUGUGCAUGCAGGAGACAAUACAUACUAGAAGCAGGAAAAACCAACAACCUUUGCUAGAAGGUCUACCAUACGAGAGGAGGAAGAGACGCCCUUUUUGUGAAAGAUCUUUUUCUCCAGA
rnacentral:lncRNA from 1 species